rnacentral:rRNA from 1 species
AGUCGAGCGAACAGACGAGGAGCUUGCUCCUCUGACGUUAGCGGCGGACGGGUGAGUAACACGUGGAUAACCUACCUAUAAGACUGGGAUAACUUCGGGAAACCGGAGCUAAUACCGGAUAAUAUAUUGAACCGCAUGGUUCAAUAGUGAAAGACGGUUUUGCUGUCACUUAUAGAUGGAUCCGCGUCGCAUUAGCUAGUUGGUAAGGUAACGGCUUACCAAGGCAACGAUGCGUAGCCGACCUGAGAGGGUGAUCGGCCACACUGGAACUGAGACACGGUCCAGACUCCUACGGGAGGCAGCAGUAGGGAAUCUUCCGCAAUGGGCGAAAGCCUGACGGAGCAACGCCGCGUGAGUGAUGAAGGUCUUCGGAUCGUAAAACUCUGUUAUUAGGGAAGAACAAAUGUGUAAGUAACUAUGCACGUCUUGACGGUACCUAAUCAGAAAGCCACGGCUAACUACGUGCCAGCAGCCGCGGUAAUACGUAGGUGGCAAGCGUUAUCCGGAAUUAUUGGGCGUAAAGCGCGCGUAGGCGGUUUUUUAAGUCUGAUGUGAAAGCCCACGGCUCAACCGUGGAGGGUCAUUGGAAACUGGAAAACUUGAGUGCAGAAGAGGAAAGUGGAAUUCCAUGUGUAGCGGUGAAAUGCGCAGAGAUAUGGAGGAACACCAGUGGCGAAGGCGACUUUCUGGUCUGUAACUGACGCUGAUGUGCGAAAGCG